CGUAUGAAAAACAGCGCGUCAUGGGCACGGUGCAGGAGAAGAGUCACGUCAAAACAUGUAACCGUUUGCAAAAUGGACUCCAGCUUCGUAUCUCAUACUCGAUAAGUGCGAAUUAUCUUGAAGUGGAUCGUGCCAAUGGCAGAUGUGCAGUCAAUGAAAUUGCCUCUUUCCCACACCGUGCAACGGCGAUUCUUGUACCUUCGUACAUAUAUAAAUGCCAUGCCGAAUGUUUAUUGUACGGACGAUUCAACCGGCAACGAAACUGGUGGAUCCGUGCUCGAAACGUCUUCAAGGGCGGCUGGAAUCGCCCUCGAUGCGUUUAUCGUCGCAGCUUCUCGUUGCGUCGUUGAAUCAUCAGCACGCCUGCACUUUUCGGAAGAAAAAUAUUCGAGGAUGUCGACGGAGACGAAGACGAUGGAAAAGGAGAAACGGAUCUUGGUGUAACGGCAGACUCCUUGCCGAUCGUUGAACCGGAGUUAAGGGGUUACAAAUUAGGCUUAUGUUUAAGAAUGUUUUUCGUGUAUAAAGUUGAAUUUUAUUGAACAACCAUUAUACAUCUUCCGAAGCGUGACAUUUUAUCUAAGCUGUGUAAAAAUUCGGUUGAAAAAUAUCAAACGGUAAAACAGUGGCAGUAGUUUUCCUAGGACGUGUUUUUGUUCACAGCAAAUGCGGUACCAGACGUGCCUCAGCCAUUUCUUAUCUGAAAAGGAAAAAAAAAGUUGCUAAAAGUAGAUAGAUAAAACUAGUAUACUUAUCAAUUUUUUCAGAUAAUCGCAGUUUCUGGAAUGAAACAGCCAAUUUUUCACCUCAACAUUGUUCACUACUGACUAUGAAAA